CCUACGGGUGGCAGCAGUGAGGAAUAUUGGUCAAUGGGCGCAAGCCUGAACCAGCCAUGCCGCGUGCAGGAAGACGGCUCUAUGAGUUGUAAACUUCUUUUGUAAGAGAGUAAACUCAGAUACGCGUGUCUGUCUGUAAGUAUCGUACGAAUAAGGAUCGGCUAACUCCGUGCCAGCAGCCGCGGUAAUACGGAGGAUUCAAGCGUUAUCCGGAUUUAUUGGGUUUAAAGGGUGCGUAGGCGGGCGGAUAAGUUAGAGGUGAAAGCCCGCGGCUCAACUGCGGAAUUGCCUCUGAUACUGGUCGGCUAGAGAGUAGUUGCGGUAGGCGGAAUGUAUGGUGUAGCGGUGAAAUGCUUAGAGAUCAUACAGAACACCGAUUGCGAAGGCAGCUUACUAAGCUACUUCUGACGUUGAGGCACGAAAGCGUGGGUAGCAAACAGGAUUAGAUACCCCAGUAGUC
rnacentral:rRNA from 1 species